rnacentral:rRNA from 1 species
GCGUAGAAUCUGGCUUCAGGUUCGGGACAACAGUUGGAAACGGCUGCUAAUACCGGAUGUGCCCUUGGGUGAAAGAUUUAUCACCUGAAGAUGAGCUCGCGUCUGAUUAGCUAGUAGGUGUGGUAAGAGCGCACCUAGGCGACGAUCAGUAGCUGGUCUGAGAGGAUGAUCAGCCACACUGGGACUGAGACACGGCCCAGACUCCUACGGGAGGCAGCAGUGGGGAAUUUUCCGCAAUGGGCGAAAGCCUGACGGAGCAAUACCGCGUGAGGGAGGAAGGCUCUUGGGUUGUAAACCUCUUUUCUCAGGGAAGAAUGAUGACGGUACCUGAGGAAUAAGCAUCGGCUAACUCCGUGCCAGCAGCCGCGGUAAUACGGAGGAUGCAAGCGUUAUCCGGAAUGAUUGGGCGUAAAGCGUCCGCAGGUGGCAAUGUAAGUCUGCUGUCAAAGCGUCUGGCUCAACCAGAUAAAGGCAGUGGAAACUACAUAGCUAGAGUAAGGUAGGGGUAGAGGGAAUUCCUGGUGUAGCGGUGAAAUGCGUAGAGAUCAGGAAGAACACCGGUGGCGAAAGCGCUCUGCUGGACCUUAACUGACACUGANGGACNAAANCUNNNGGANCNAAA